rnacentral:rRNA from 1 species
UACCAGCACCCCGAGUGGUCGGGACGAUUAUUGGGCCUAAAGCAUCCGUAGCCGGCCUUACAAGUCCUCCGUUAAAUCCAGCUGCUUAACAGAUGGGCUGCGGAGGAUACUAUAAGACUAGGAGGCAGGAGAGGCAAGCGGUACUCAGUGGGUAGGGGUAAAAUCCGUUGAUCCAUUGAAGACCACCAGUGGCGAAGGCGGCUUGCCAGAAUGCGCUCGACGGUGAGGGAUGAAAGCUGGGGGGGCAAACCGG